GUCAGCAUAAGCAAUCGCAUCACUUCAACUACUUAAGGGAAGAGGAGCCUGCUUCAGUUGAAACCCACCUCGCAAAUGAGAGAGGAGGGCUGGUGAGCUGGAUUUACUCUAGAGAGCAGAGAGAGAGGGUGCGUGAAUUCCACCUCAGGGGCAGUGGUGGCGUCAGGAAGGGCAUCUGGUCAUCAUCUACCAUUAACAGUGCCACAACCAAUACAACAGUGCUGACCCUGUCAAGCAAUGGAAAAAGACAAAGAGGAUGAGAAGAUUAAUUUAGCUUCCUGUGGCUCUUUUUGUAACUGGGAUAAUUAGUUAGGAAUACUGUACUAACACAGUGUUUUUUUAUAAAGAGCAGUGAUGUUUCUGUUACCCACAAUUUACAUUUGUUUUCCGUAGCUACUACUAAUAAAGUGGCCACUUUUGGAAAGACUUCCUGAAAAUGAC